ensembl:lncRNA
GUUCUGAUAACUGUGAGUGGCCUAACCCACAUAGAUGGAAAUCAGCCUUGGGGCAAUUCUUUCCUUUAGCUGAUGGAACAUGAUAUAUACAGCUUGGAGCUAGGUUCCUCCACAGCACAGCUAUUUGUAUGCAUUCACUUUAUCACAUUUUUAGGAAUUUUGAUAGCAUCUGAUAGGUUUAGAUUCUGAGAGGCAUUUCCUUUGAGCCACCAGCAUCUUCAUGGCAGCUGGAGCACUGGCUAUAAUGAUCUGUUCCAGCCUCCUUAUCUUCAGUAGCCUUCCAUAUCUCCAAUCUGCCUGUGUCUCUGCAUACUGAGAAAUGAUUGUGGUUGUCAAUCAUAUGUGCCUUACUCUCAUCCUCCCCAGCUGUGGGUUCCGUCACUGAGAUCAGACUUGGUAGACCAUAUCCAGGGAUUUGAUUGUAUUGACUUGAAGUGAAUAUUGCGUUUGCCUUCAGAAAUCUCUUUCUUUCCCUCCAUCUUCCUUUGUGCAGGUCCUUUAUCUCUCAGAGCCUGUUUUCUGGCCAGCUGCAGCCUGAUGUUUACUCAGCUGGGGUGAAUAACUUUCCUUUCUGUGUGUCUGAUGUGCUGCGUGUUGUCAAUACAUGGGCCAAUGGAGAUGUCCUCCCUGCUCCAUCCAUAUCAGCUUCUGACCUGACUUAUCUGUUGGCAGACCAGCAGCACUGAAGUCAGUGUGAAUGCAGGCAUCCAUAGAAACGUGUUCUCAUACAGCAGAGGGACUGAGCUGUCAUUGCCUUGAGAGCACCUGGUGAGGUUUGGUCAGCUUUCCAAGAUGAUAACAUGGAGCCUGAAGACCAAGUGCUGAAGACAGAAGGAACUGCAUCCUUGCUUUAAGUAAAAGACAGUGGACUUUUCUGUAUCAUGAAGCUGAAGACUGAACGCAGUUGAACACCAAAGGAAGCAAUGGGAAAUAUUUAUCAUACUUGGGGAGAGGGAUCCAUUUUUGCCAUAUGAAAGCAUACAACAAAAGGUUCUGGCAGCUGGAAACUAGGAGAGAGAGCUGGGAUGGGACUUGCUUGCAUCCCACCGAUGAAGAUGAGCACCCAGUCCUCAGGUCCCUGUGUUUCCCAGCCAUCCCCCUCCCUGACAGAUGUCUGUCCUAGGAUGCUGGCUCCCACUCCUAUAUUUGAGAGGUGACAGAUGACUUGCUUCUCCUCCUUUUGCAAGCCUGGGCUGGGCUGAUCUGAUUGCCCUUUUCAGCUGUAGAAAGAUCCAUGUGGACAGGAAGACAUCAGAGAUAUCUAAGACUUCAAGGGCAUGAGAUAAAUGCAAAUGCAUCACUAAUGACUGCUUUAAAAGAAGGUGGUUCUGAUCUCUGUUCAAGAGUUGAUCUCCACCUUAGCAAUGCUACCUUGGGCUUUGAAAGGAAUCUGACAACAUGUCCUUCCUCCGGAUUUUAUUCCUGACUGUAAAGUGGAACCAGCUUUUAGAAGCGGAGGAUAAAGAUUUGGCUGGGAACAUCUGAGCUGGAGGACCAAUAACUUGGGAGCUGCUCGGAAGUGUUUGAUCUGUCUCAGGCCCGCAAGUGCUGAGCAAACGCCUGCCUUGAAGUGGAAGUUAUUUUAUGCAUCCACUGGAGUCCUCUAAAGCCAUUUCCUCUGGGACCUCUGGGGACACUCUGGGCAUCUAUUUUCUCAGCAAUACCAAUGUGACAUGAGGGAGACCGUCUCACAGCCGCUAGGACAGAAGGUGGAAGAAUGCAAACGCUGAAACAUUUUUCAGUUUGUCCUGAUUAUCUUUCCUCCUCCAGCAGUUUUAUUAGGGUUCAUAAAUUCUUCUUUAGAGCACUCAUUCCCCCAUGCAUUUUAACCCUCGGCAGCCUUGGAGGUCACUGUAACCCUGUGGGGUUGGUGGCUGUCCAGGAGAAGCCACCCUGCCCCAUCACAGCUGGCUCUGACCGAAGAGAAUGGAAAUCACUGCACAAAAAGGGCUCUGAGGCACAUGGAGCCCUUCCACUGGCUCAAGUGUAAUAUAAAUAACAACCUUAAUCAUGCAGUGAAAUUGGUGGGUGAAGAUAUGACUGAGGAAUCUGAUAUUGCUUUCAGAAGAUUUUCAGUGCAUCAGUGCUGCUCUCCCCAGCGUGGCAGGAAAGCAUGGAAAAUUCCUCCGUCACCACUGCUUGGUGCCCUCCUAUAAUGAGUAGUCGUUGAGGUAAUAGUAACCCUUUUGGCAAAAGCACUUGCUCCAUGGAAAGCCAGGAUAUAUCCAGUAAUGCAGGGGAGUGCCAUAAAGCACAGCUCAGUAGGAACCUGUUAAAGCGAUAACCUCUGCUGGCCUGGCACGCUGCUUCACCAACAGUCCCCAGCUCCUGAAGGCAGUGAUGCUAAGUGAAAUAUUCAGGGGAGGUUAAGGUCGGAUAUUACGAACAGUUUCUUCUCAGAAAGAGCAGUGAGGCACUGGAAUGGGCUGCCCAGGGAGGUGGUGGGAUCGCCAUCCCUAGAGGUGUUCCAGAACCAUGGAGAUGUGGCACUGAGGGAUGUGGGCAGUGGGCAUGGUGGGGUGGGCUGGGGUUGGACUUGGGGAUCUGAGAGGUCUUUUCCAACUUGAAUGAUCAUAUGAUUAGAUAGCUGCUGUUUGUUAGGCAGUCUUAUUCUUGUGGCAGUCUUAUUCUUGUGUCCCCUUGGGAGAACAGCCCUGAAGGCUGGUGGCCUUGAACUGGCAGCUUCUGCUGUGGACACCAUCCCCUCCUUCCCAGUUUGACCUUCUACCAAGCCCUGAAGCAGGCUGAUUUGAGAUCAAUUCUUGCAGCUAUAGCCUAGCAAUCCAUUUGGCUGCGUGGUUUUAUAGCCAGUACAAUAGGAUACAAUUAGUUUGUCAUGCACUUGGUGCAUUAUUCGCUUGCUGUUUGCUGCAAAGGAGGAGAAAGCUGAAAAAGUACAGUGGUGAGCUAUGUUGCUUUGGAACAAAAUAUUUACAUUUUCCACAUUUCCCAUAAGGCAUUAGCACUCUUCCAAAUGUGACACAGGAGAAGCAAAUGCUUAGUGGUCUGCGGAUCUAACGUUUGCUUAAGUACCAUGACAUAUGUGCGUAUGUGUGUACACACACGAGAUAUUUUAGUUCUACUAUUUAAAUUAAGGGUGGGAUACCCUUCAGCACUGCAUUUCUCAGCAUAUGUGUUCUUAUGUUCACUUAUUCUUUGUUUCUGCCAAUGCCUAAAUAAGGAAUACUAAACAGCCACAAAUAUGCAGCCAGUGGAGACGCAGGAAUUCACUGGGAGGGAGCAAAUGCUGAUCUUGAGCUGAUAGGUUUGCAAGGGAAAGAGUCACUGCAGCUGCAGGAGAGAUUUCUGUGGUGGUAUCUGUCUGUAAUGCACAUCACAGCCCCGCUUUGCCUUCAGGGCAAAGCUGAAGCUUUUAGAUGGAGAGCAAGUCGUUUCAAUGCCACAUCAGGGAUAUAUGUAUAUAUAUAUCCACAUAUAUAUACACACACAUAUAAGAAGCACCUGUUUGCACAAUGUUGAUGGUAUUCUCUGCAGCUCUGAGCUGGAACACUGGGCUUGCAAGGAUGCCCAGAUGGGCUGCGUGUGCAGGCAUAGGGGACCACACAUACAUGCCUACAUUUAUUCCCAUUAUUCCCUUGACUUAGAGCUUUAAAGUCACCUCCUCAGUCUCAUGCCAGCUACACAAUGUAAGGAUGACACAGUCAGGCCUUAAAUUUCCUACCUUUAGGAAAAUGCACAUGAAUUUGACCUCACAUUUGUUUUUCUGGUCAAAAAAUGAAAAGUCUAUGGGAAAGCAGCUUGUCCUGGAGCUCACUGCACUGGAGUAUUUCCUGUUAAAGUACAAUGAUCAGCUUGGAAAUUAAAGGGCAGAGAUGUCCCAGUUUGCUUUUCUAUGAUAUCUCUACACUCAUAGUGAUUGAAAUUGCUUUUGUGAUUCUUAUUUUAAAGCUGGAGCAAUUUAAGCACCAAGUAUCUGCUGUAGUGGAAAUGCUGAGUCACAGCCUGAAGCAGUGAUGGAGCACCUGGUGGAAAGGCAGGGCCAACCCAGGGGAGCUCAGGUGCAUGCAGUGCACCUGAGUGAUUGGAAGGGAUGGAGCCACCCCUUCCCAGACCUCAUUUAAGGGUUGGCAGUGGAGGUGAGGGCAUCUCUUGUCUGCCUACCUGAGGCCUUCUAAAGGCAAAUAGCUCUUUUCUUUCAUUUUUGCAUCUGUGGCUGCUGCACUUGGGCUCACUCUCAUUUGCUGCAGCCAAAGACUUUGCCACCCUACUAUUAUCAGCCCAUUAUAGCAUUAUGCCUGCUUGCCAGUUUUUUGUCUGUUCCUCAGGUUCUCUGAGGGUACAAGGAACAACAGCUUUUCAGAGUGGGUUCUGCUUCCUGUCUUUUCCCACCUUUGUCCAUGCAGCAUACGUAAAUGUUUCCUCACCUCAGUCCUUACAGGGACGUUGUUGGCCAGGAGAGAUCUGUAAUGCAGAGGUUGGGCAAAUCAUACAAUCACUAUGGUUGGAAAAGGCCACUAAGAUCAUCAAGCCCAACUGUCAGCCCAACCCCACCAUGCCCGCUGACCACGUCCCUCAGUGCCACAUCCCCACGGUUCUGGAACACCUCCAGAGACAGUGUGAUAUCACCAGUUGGACUGGAUGAUCUUAGUGGUCUUUUCCAGCCUUAAUGAUUCCAUGAUAAUAUGUUAUGUAACAAUUAUAGUAUAAUAUAAAUUGUAUUUAAUGGAGAUGCUGCUCUGGGUGUGAUUCAGCUGCAAGGGAAUCCAUCCCAUCUCUUGCAGGGUUUGUGGGGUUGGUAUGUGAUUUCCAUGCCACUGUGCGUGCACCACUAUACACAGCACAUUGCCCCAUCUUUGUUGCUGCGCUGCCCAACUCUCAGCUCAGGGAAAAGAAAGUCUGAGCUGAUAAGAAAGAUAACUGUUCUGAAGAAGGGAGGCAGAGGUUAAGGAGUGCCAUCUUUUGCGAUCCAUGAUUUGAGGUGGGAGCUUGCAGCCAGGUCCCCUCCGUGCCCAUUCUUCUGCCCUCUUCGCAUCCUCUCCUCCCAUUUUCCACCCCACCCUUGGAGAGGGGUAUGUCUGCUUACCUCCCUUUGCAGCAAGGGCAGAGGAAGAUGAGGAGCUUGGCUGGGGCAUGGAUGGAGCAGCCCAGGGUGCAGCAUCAACAGCCCCAGCCCCUACUCCCCCCCAGGCAGCAUUUGCAAAAGAUCAAAGCGUGCAGCAAAAAUAGCAAAAGGGAAGAGCUUGUGGGUUGGACAUCUGGAGGCCAGAAGCAGCUCCUGCUUUUGAGUAGGCAAGAGGUGAAGGAGGAAGGGUAAAAAUGGGUUUACGGUCUCGCUUCUUUUACUGGGAUUAAAAACUUCUUAUAAAGUUAUAUGGUUUGCUGUUAUUUGAGAAAGCAGUGUCCUAUGUCUCUGUAAGGUCCUAAUUUCAGAAGCAGGGAUGCUAAUGACACCUAUAAAAAUAGAGAGGUGGGUAUUUUCUGGCAGUCACAAUGCUGAUUUAUCUGUGGUGCAUCAUCUGACAACCUUAUUUUUAUUCCAAGGGGCACAAGGAGGCUCCUGGGAAAUGUCUGUGCUGCUAAGCUGAAUAAAGCAGGUGCUAUUUCCUUUUGCAGCUGGAUGUUUUCAACUAUAAGAACUCAGAAACAAGCCCAAACCUAAGGGGAUGGCUGGGUCACAGCCCAGUUUUUCAAAGCCUUUGCAAAGAAACUGGAGACAGGCAGACUAGAAGUCAAAGUCCAACCUCUGGACAGUGCUGCCAAGAGUGCAAUCAAAUAUUGUGCCCAUUUCCACCAAAUAAGUGUGCCAGUGUCAUUGCAAUGCAUUAACGUACAAACAGUACAUUGCAACGUUGGGUUCACUCUGCAAAUGGAGCUGAGUGAGCAAAGUGUUUCACGCCAUUAUGUGUGUCCAAAUGGGAUGAAAACCUCUGGAGGCAGCAUAGCGGGACAUUCUCUGGUGAAAACAUUUACCAUGGAAAAAUGCAAUUUGCAGGGGAUGAUUUGCAUCCAGCACGAUGAACAAUUUUGGCCACAGGAAAAAUAAGCUGAAGUGGAGGGAAGGAGGUUGGAAUGGAAACAGACAGAUUUGAUUGGUUUUCUUUUAACAAAAGAAGCCGUAAGUUAAACACUCUGUUUGUGACAAGAUGUACCAUCUUAUCCCAGGCAGGUUGGAAUUCUUUUUCUUUCCAUCUUUUUCCUUUUUGAUUUUUCCCUUCUCUGUUCAUUCUGUUGGGAAAUGUUUUGUGGAUCAUGGCAUGGGGAGGUUUGGGACUCUGUGUUCCUUUCUGAGCUUCAUCAUCGUUAUCACUUUGCCAUUGUUUGUCUUGAUGUAGGAUCAACAACUGUCUCUCUCCUUGGUCAAAUGGUGGAACUGCUUCUUUCCUCUUCCAGUUUUGCCUCCUGGUCAUUAAAGUGGGAAAUAUCUCUCAUUCAUUUGCAUUGGUUUGACCUGUGCUCCUGGUUUUCUUUCCCAGCUAGGGACAUGGUUGUUGCUCCCAGCCAAGUGCCAGGUGUAUGGCAUGUGAUGACACCAAGCCCUGCCAGGUUGCAUGUUUCAAUGCUUGUGUUGUGCCACUUUCAUUAGCGCACUGAUUAACCAUUUCCCCGUGGUCUAAUGAAUUCCACUUGCCCAUUGCUCACUGAGCAUACCCAGAAAUCACAGCAUUGGGCAAUGCUCACUGGGAUACUUAAGGAAGAGGAGGGGAAAAAAAAAUGAAUGUGCGAGUGCUGGAUUGGGCAGGAAUGGGGGAAUGAAGAAAUUCAAACAUUUUUUUUUCUUCUUUCAGUGGUGAGGGCAGACAAGGCUGAUAGCUGCCUCCGUGUGAAACUGGAGCUACAUCCAGGAAUGGUAUUUAUAUGCACGGAUGUAGCUUUCAAUCAGGAUGAUGUAAACACUGCUGCAGAAUUUUUUGACCAGGCUGUUUGGGAAACGUGAUGGAUUAAAUAUGACAAACAAGAUUCCUGGACGUUUAUUUAUCCGCCUUUUCAUUUGUGCCAGUUUCAUGUUAGGCAAGGCUCUGGCUACCAGACCGAUGCUAAGCCCUGAGGGCAGGCAAGGCUGGGGGGAGGGAGCCACAAAGAGAG